GACGAACGCUGGCGGCGUGCCUAAUACAUGCAAGUUGAGCGCUGAAGGUUGGUACUUGUACCGACUGGAUGAGCAGCGAACGGGUGAGUAACGCGUGGGGAAUCUGCCUUUGAGCGGGGGACAACAUUUGGAAACGAAUGCUAAUACCGCAUAAAAACUUUAAACACAUGUUUUAAGUUUGAAAGAUGCUAUUGCAUCACCCAAAGAUGAUACCGCGGUGUAUUAGCUAGUUGGUGAGGUAAAGGCCUACCAAGGCGAUGAUACAUAGCCGACCUGGGAGGGUGAUAGGCCACAAUGGGAAUGGGACACGGCCCAAAAUCCUACGGGAGGGAGCAGUAGGGAAUCUUCGGCAAUGGACGAAAGUCUGACCGAGCAACGCCGCGUGAGGGAAGAAGGUUUUCGGAUCGUAAAACUCUGUUGGUAGAGAAGAACGUUGGUGAGAGUGGAAAGCUCAUCAAGUGACGGUAACUACCCAGAAAGGGACGGCUAACUACGUG
rnacentral:rRNA from 1 species